UACAGAGGUGGCAAGCGUUGUUCGGAAUUACUGGGCGUAAAGGGCGCGUAGGCGGCCAGGUCAGUCCCGUGUGAAAUCCCUCGGCUCAACUGAGGAACUGCACGGGAAACUGCCUGGCUUGAGUUCGGGAGAGGGAAGCGGAAUUCCGGGUGUAGCGGUGAAAUGCGUAGAUAUCCGGAGGAACACCGGUGGCGAAGGCGGCUUCCUGGACCGACACUGACGCUGAGGCGCGAAAGCUAGGGGAGCAAACGGG
rnacentral:rRNA from 1 species